rnacentral:rRNA from 1 species
UCGGGAAUUUUGGGCAAUGGGGGAAACCCUGACCCAGCAACGCCGCGUGAGCGAUGAAGGCCUUCGGGUCGUAAAGCUCUGUCAGGAGGGAAGAACUCUGCGAUACGAACAAUGUCGCAGUCUGACGGUACCUCCAAAGGAAGCACCGGCUAACUCCGUGCCAGCAGCCGCGGUAAUACGGAGGGUGCAAGCGUUGUUCGGAAUCAUUGGGCGUAAAGCGGGUGUAGGCGGCUUGGCAAGUCGGGUGUGAAAUCCCUGGGCCCAACCCAGGAACUGCAUUCGAAACUGCCUCGCUGGAGUCCCGGAGAGGAUGGCGGAAUUCCCGGUGUAGAGGUGAAAUUCGUAGAUAUCGGGAGGAACACCAGCGGCGAAGGCGGCCAUCUGGACGGUGACUGACGCUCAGACCCGAAAGCGUGGGUAGCGAACAGGAUUAGAUACCCCCGUAGUCC